UAUGAUAAGUAAUAACUAAUAAUUAUUAGUUACUUUGUGGACGCCAUCUUUAUUGUGUUUUGUAAUUCCAAUUAUACCCACGAAGUGUUGUGCUCUAGGGCCUAUGACAACGAGCCACAACAGACUGGUGUUACGAUCCAUCCGUGGCCAAACAAAGAGAGAAACCCCGGACUUGAUAGCGCCUUGCUGAGAGCCAUUCCAUGAGAACAGAUCUCAAGAAGACAGAUUAGCCACCAUCCAAAAGUACAAAGCUGUGUUCCUUGCAUUUCAAGGAAUCUGAUUUCAUCUGUGAGUCUAAAAGAAGUCAGACCCCUGGCAAGGCUCUAUAGAAGAGGUAUAUCAAACCAGAUGUAGUACCAUCCCUAUGGCAAAACUAUCCCAACUCCUUCUCAACCCUAAAGCUUCAUCAAGGCCAACUCAAGCUGUCACAUAGGGCUCAACAGUUCAAUAAAAUGAGUUCUGUGGAAGAACUUGUUGACAAAUUGGCCAAGGAUACACUACCAUCAUACUUCAUCCUCAUCACAAAACCAAGUGUUACCCUUUUGAAGCUAUCCCAUGAUGAGAAAUUGGGCCCCCGAGUAGUAGCUCCCUCUAGUACAUUUAUAUUUACAAGCUCUGACUUUAUUGGAUUUGUUGCCAUGUAGUCGUGGGAAUAUUCAAUUUACCGAUCCCACAAGAAGUUUAUUCUUUCAUAUUUGCUUUUUUGUAACUAAGCCCGCUUUUUAUUCAUUAAAAUUAAAUAAAGUACUUCCUAUUCAUUAUUUGUAUUAAAAUAGUGAAAGAUUACAUCAUUGAUAUGUAAUUUAAUUAUCCACAUCUCAGUAAAUCCUUCAUUUAAUAUUAUUCAUCUCAUUUUUUAGUUGCAUCUUGUACAAAAUCUUUACUUGUACACAUUAUUAAUAUAUAAAUACUCCAAAAAAGUUAUAUAUUUCAGUGUUGGGUUUCGGUCUGGAAAUUCUAAGCCGGUCUGAAACCGUUAUGAUUUUUAGAAGACCGAACUGAUUUGGUCAUUUAAAGAAGUUUGGUCUGAACUGGUCUAAAAAAAAAUUGGUCUGGAUCGAUCUUACAUAAAAAAAUCACACUACGAUGAAAUUAGAUGAAUAUAAGAAGGAGCAAUUCUAGCACCAAAUAAUCAAUGAGUUAAUUAAACCAUUAAAGAUCUUUUAGCUGAAAUUUUCUUUAAAAUUUUUUUUUGUAUUUUUGGGCAAAUAAUUGUCAAUUUCUAUCAAAUAUUAUUAACCCUUUGGGUGUAUCGUCAUAAUAAAAAUUGACGGAUUUUAUUUGAAAGACCAUAUUGGGCCAGUAUAUCUUAAAUCAAAUAAAGUAUGACCAUAGCAAAAAUUAUGAAGUGUCUUAGUUCAUCCCACAAAUUGAAAUACAAAGCCUUUAAUUAUUUCGAAUAUUUAUUUGAAAUAUUGGGUUGAAUGUAUAUUUGAGACUCUGUGAAGAAAACAAAGAAGCAUGACUAGACGAAUUACUUUGCACUUAUUGAGCAACAUCGCUUGCCUGUGGUAAAACUCCUACGGAUUUAUUGUUCGCAAGCCGAAUUCUUAGGCGGCUGGAUGGUUAUCUACCUUCUUCUCCUUCCUCCUCUUCCCUCUUUACGACGCAUAGAAAAAUUCACACUGAACACUGGCUUGUUGUCUAGGUGGUACAGCGUUCGCCAACCGGAGUGGAUUGCAUUACAACAAGGAAGACAAUUGGAAUUGAUUGUGGACAAUUGAAACCCUGCAAGGUAUAUUUCGAAAGUACGAGAAUAAACUUCGUCCUAGUAUGAGAGGUCGAGCGAGUGGGAUGGUUCAUAUCACCAUCGCCUUAUUUACUUUUAUAAUUAUGGAUUCGUUUUAGCCAUAGUCAUGGAAUACUCAACAUCCUUCAAAUAGUAAUCCCUGACCAAUAUAAGUUAGUGUAUGAUUGUACCCCGAUCCGACCGUCUACUUUAUUAGCUCUUCCUUCGGUCCAUUACUUCCAUACGUAGGUUGCGUUCUAGGAACACUACAAAAAAAGCAUCAAGAAUUAACAGGCUUACAAAGAUCAGAUUCACAAUCUACUAAUAAGCAGAUAUCUCUUAAUAUCUCACAUUAGAAAAUAUAAUUAUAAAGGAGAUAAACAAGAGUUAUCGGCGGAUCCUAAAUCUUUAUUGUAUAUUCAUACCGUAAGUGAUGCAAAAAUGAAGAUAAAAUUAAAUAUUUUAAACAGUUAUAUAUUAAACUUAUGUUCUCGCAUAGUUUCCCUGUAUCAACAAAUACAUAUAUUACAUUUAAAUUAUUUUCAUAAAUAUCAAAAUAAAUGCUUUAAAAAACACUUCGAAAACAGUCGAAGCUAAUAUGUAUUUCAUAAAUAAGUUAUAUUUAAAUUAAAUUAAAACUGGAAUGGAAAAAAUCUGUAAAUAUAAUUUUGGCCUCUUUUUUGGGGGAAUAAAGCACUGUGCUACGC
rnacentral:lncRNA from 1 species